CUCCUGUAUUUUCUUGUGUCUGACAAACCACUUAACACAUUAGUUGAAACAUUUAUUUUAUAUAUUUAAUAUUUCCAAUGUUUACAAUAUUAUCAGUACAUUUAUGAGGAUAUAUUAGCAUAUAACACCGUUUUCUGCUCGACCGCACUGGCAUUUAUGCACGUGUUAUUUAGUCUAGUUUCACUUCCUGUCGGGACUACCACAAACUUGAUAUAAACAACAUUUUAAACAAUCUUUAAAUAACAGAAUUACUGCAGUGCUUAUUCACUAUGGAUGAAUGCCCGCCAAUUACUGUGCGUUUAGCUGUUGAUCGAACAGAUAUGAAUUUAACGGCUGGUGAAAAUAUAGGAUUUUAUACCCCAGGUCAAGAGGUUUCAAGUCAGACUGGAUUUAUGAGAGGUCAUGGAACAUAUGUUGAUGAAGAAGAAACACUGCGAGCAUCAGUAGCUGGAGUUUUAGAAAAGGUCAAUAAAUUGAUAUCGGUGAGACCCUUAAAGACUCGAUAUCAGGGUGAAAUUGGCGAUGUGGUUGUCGGCCGAAUCACCGAGUUACAACAAAAACGCUGGAAAGUAGAUACAAACUCAAAAAUGGACUCAGUACUUUUACUUUCAAGUGUUAAUUUGCCUGGCGGAGAAUUGAGGAGAAGAUCAGCAGAGGAUGAACAAACAAUGAGACGUUACUUACAAGAAGGAGAUUUGAUCUGUGCCGAAGUACAGAGUACCUUUGCAGAUGGAUCACUAUCUCUUCAUACACGUGUGUUGAAGUAUGGUAAAUUAUCGCAAGGAAUCAUGUUAAAAGUUUCCCCUGCUUUGAUAAAACGCAAGAAGACCCACUUUCAUAACUUAGCUAAUGGAGCUAUCUUAAUUUUGGGAAAUAAUGGAUAUGUGUGGAUUGGUGCAAACACUCAAGAAAAAGAUCAAUCGGAGGGUGGCUUCACGCAAGAUUUAUCUCGAGUAGCAUUACAAGAUAGAGAGAUCUGUGCUCGUCUGAGAAAUUGUAUAUUAAUUUUGGCUGAAUGCAACAUUCUCUUAACAGAUACCUCGGUUACAUAUGCUUAUGAAGAAUCCAUGAAAUAUACCCCCAGUGAAUUACUCCAAUCCGAAGCAAUAAUUGAUGUAGCAUUACUAACUCAACAAAGAUUGAGUCAAUUUUAAUGUCACACAACAAUGAAUCGAAACAAAAUUGUCAUGAGUACAACAUACAAAAUGUAUAAGACUUUAAUUCGUGGAUACAGAAAGCGGCAGUCGACGGCGAUGGACGCGUGCUUCACGGCUUUCGAUAAGGACGAGGAUGGAUUUUUAUCCAUCCUGGAAUUUGAAUUAAUUUGUCGUGCAC